rnacentral:rRNA from 1 species
AGGGUUUGAUUCUGGCUCAGGAUGAACGCUGGCGGCGUGCUUAACACAUGCAAGUCGAACGAAGCACCUUGAUUUGAUUCUUCGGAUGAAGAUCUUGGUGACUGAGUGGCGGACGGGUGAGUAACGCGUGGGUAACCUGCCUCAUACAGGGGGAUAACAGUUAGAAAUGACUGCUAAUACCGCAUAAGACCACAGCACCGCAUGGUGCAGGGGUAAAAACUCCGGUGGUAUGAGAUGGACCCGCGUCUGAUUAGGUAGUUGGUGGGGUAACGGCCUACCAAGCCGACGAUCAGUAGCCGACCUGAGAGGGUGACCGGCCACAUUGGGACUGAGACACGGCCCAA